CAAAUACUCCAUCCGUCCCAAAAUUCUUGUCUUAGGUUUGUCUAGAAAUGGAUAUAUCAAAAUACUAAAACGUGCACAAAUCUAAGACAAGAAUUUUGGGACGGAGGGAGUAUUAU
rfam:Hordeum vulgare subsp. vulgare, WGS project CAJW01000000 data, contig: morex_contig_48254